UCCCAAGUAGCUCAAACCGUAAAGAAUCUGCCUGCAAAGCAGGAGACCUGGAUUUGAUCCCUGGAUUGGGAA
rnacentral:tRNA from 1 species